rnacentral:rRNA from 1 species
AUUGAACGCUGGCGGCAGGCCUAACACAUGCAAGUCGAGCGGAUGAAGGGAGCUUGCUCCUGGAUUCAGCGGCGGACGGGUGAGUAAUGCCUAGGAAUCUGCCUGGUAGUGGGGGAUAACGUCCGGAAACGGGCGCUAAUACCGCAUACGUCCUGAGGGAGAAAGUGGGGGAUCUUCGGACCUCACGCUAUCAGAUGAGCCUAGGUCGGAUUAGCUAGUUGGUGGGGUAAAGGCCUACCAAGGCGACGAUCCGUAACUGGUCUGAGAGGAUGAUCAGUCACAUUGGAACUGAGACACGGUCCAGAGGCCUACGGGAGGCAGCAGUGGGGAAUAUUGGACAAUGGGCGAAAGCCUGAUCCAGCCAUGGCGCGUGUGUGAAGAAGGUCUUCGGAUUGUAAAGCACUUUAAGUUGGGAGGAAGGGCAGUAAGUUAAUACCUUGCUGGUUUGACGUUACCAACAGAAGAAGCACCGGCUAACUUCGUG